rnacentral:rRNA from 1 species
GACGGGGGGUCCUAGCGUUGUUCGGAAUCAUUGGGCGUAAAGCGUGUGCAGACGGUUUGGAAAGUUGGAUGUGAAAGCCCCGAGCUCAACUCGGGAAGUGCAUUCAAAACUCCCAAACUUGAGUAAGGAGGAGGGUCGUGGAAUUCCAGGUGUAGUGGUGAAAUACGUAGAUAUCUGGAGGAACACCGGUGGCGAAGGCGGCGACCUGGUCCUAUACUGACGUUCAUACACGAAAGCGUGGGGAUCAAACAGG